UAAAACUUACAACGGAAGACAUACUAACCAGUGGGAAGGUCACCAAUGAUAGAACCAACACACCACUGUCUCAUUUGACUACCCUUUGCCUAGUCAUCAGAAACAGCUUUAAUCUGACUAGUGCAUCGUGUCCCUCUUUGUUUGGAUUCCAAUGAUUAACCACUACCAACCAACUUACAUAGAAAUGGACAUCACAGCCAGUCCUGUUUGGUCUGCUGAGCCUUCUCCUUCAGCAAAAUUACCAGCCCAACAACUUUUGCGUCUUUGGACAACAGGAACUAUGCCAUCAUCUUCUGUUCCACGCAAAAUUGAAUCAAAAUUCUAAGUUUUGCCCGUUCUUCACUUCAUAAUCCUUCGUCGCCUGGCUUUUCGCCCCGUCCGUCGCCUCGCCUGUAGCCGUCUUCGCCUCGCCCGUCGCCUUGCCCAUCGCCUCGCCCGUCGCCCCGUCUUCGC